rnacentral:lncRNA from 1 species
AGAUCAUCAUCUACAAACCUUCAGUUAAUACAAAGCAUUAACUGAAAAAUUAAAAUUAAAUGAAAACUCAGUAAGAGUUUUCAUUUAAUUGCUGACUGAUGUUGAUUUUGUCAAUUCCAAAGGCAGCCAGGUGUUGUCCUAGGUUUUUUGGGAUGAUGCUGAUGCUGGAGCCACAGCUGAAAUAUAUUGUGGCUCUGGAGCCAGUGCUAGAGCCUAAUCUAUUUCAAGCCAGCUCCCCAGCCCUUAUGAUUGGCAUUGUUCUUGCCUUCUUUUCCCAUAAUCUUUUUCACUUCUAUUUCAAGUUCUCUGUAUUUCAUUGUCUUUUCAAGUUCUUUAUCAUUUAUUCUUGCAUCAUCAGG